ACUGCAUCAUGCUUAAAGAAACUAGAGGGAAAACUAAUAACCAGUCGACAGGAACAAACAUCAAUUAUCAUUCAUCCUUAAACUUGAUUAUAAGACUUUCAACAUUUCCUUUCAUGUGCUAUUUAGGGAUUGACACAUACCUGGGAAAUAAGAGGAAAUAAAUAAGAGGCGAGUUUAGCAAGUGAACAUAGCAACAACAAGACCGCAAUAUAUCAACACCAAUAGUUCAUUUCAACCCAUAAAGGGUGUGACACAACCCAGAACCCUCUCAUUACCAAACAACAAUCGAAAAUGAGUUCAAACAAGAUUUUAUUGGAGCAAAUUCAAACCAUUUUCAGUAAAAAUGACACAUCACUUUUCAAAAGAUCAAAAUUUUAAGUGGAAUCCUAAUGGAACAGUAAAAUUUCAGUCCUUUUUAGCCAUUUAAGUUUCUUCUGAGUUUUUAUCACUGAAAAAUUCUCAAAUCAAACCAUUUUAGCUCUCUAACAAACCAGACUUCAUUUCAGGCUUUACAAAUCUAAGAAAUCACAAAGAAACACUUAAUGUAAUGGUGAAAUUCUCUGAAAUUCUUAGCCGUUCCAGAAGCUUCCUACUCUUUAUCUCUUUCUUUGAUUCUCCUUCUAAGGCAAGAAGAGCUGCCUUUAUAGGCAAGCAAACUAGGGCACCCUUAUAUUCUUAAUUUUCAUUUUAGUCCUUCAUUUUUUAACUUGAUAACCAAGUUAUAGCACCAAAAUUUUACAAAAAGCCCUUACUAGAAGCUUCAUAUUCUUGUUACUAAAGAUUCCCUAAGUGAUUUACUUAUACUACCCUCCCAUUCCCUGAAAACUAACCUAAACUACCAGCCUGGGUCAAUUUGACCCAAGGAAAAAUCACAUAUGUCCCUUCAACCCCUUUGAAUUGACCUUAUUGUUCUGGGCUUUUACAUGACAGAACUUUAACAAGUGAUCAAACAGACUUCAGGAGUUAAACCUUUGAAUUGAGCCUUUGAAUUAAAACCUCCGAAUUACACCCCUAGAGUUAAAAGAAAUCUAGGCACAAUUAUGCAAUUAAAGGUAAAAAGCAUCAGCUUAACAAUCAAACUAAUUAAAAAUGUAAAAUAACUGGAUAAUGUGAUCAAAUCAAAUCAAAUCAACUAGACCUAGAUUCCUGACUGUUUACACAUGCGAAUCUCCACUAAAAAACCUAAUCUAAUUCGAAUGAGGAAAUUCUUAGAAGCGAGCAAAAAAAGAAUCGGAAUGAAGGAAGAAAGAGACAACUAACUAAAAUUUUUCUUUAGAAAAACAAUGAAAAUUAAAAGCUAAAGGGGAUGGUAUUCAGAACUCACCGGAAAAGCCUAUAAAAUCUUCAUGCAUUGACAGAGUUUCGAUCUAAGAUUCGAGCCGUCUGAGGGAUAUUCAGAGAAAACCAACAGUGGAUUUGUCAUGAGGGAGGUCAGUGGGUCAUUUGGUAUUGAUUUGGGACCGUUUGGCGGCAGCGGUGCCGUUCACGGCGAUGGAGUCCAUGAUUCAAACGGAUAUUGAAGACGUUUGGCUGAUAUUCGAGAGACACUAGGAAUGGAUUUGGAUAGAGGAGGUUGAGGACAGGAGACGGUGUUAUUUUGGAGGCCUUUGGGUGAUCAUCGCCGGCGGAGGCGAUUUCCAGUCGGUGGUUUGCAGUGCAGAGACGGUGGUGUUAUAGGUCUCUGAUACCAGGUGAGAGACGGAGGUAGAGGUAGGGGGUUCUGUGGGGCUGGGUUUCAUUUGGACGUUGAAAUAAGAGAGCUAGGCUUCCCAGCCAUCUGAUCAUCAAACCUCGACGGCUGGGAUUAAUCUUAGCCAGAACGACAUCGUUCGAGGUAUUGGGGGGCUGGACCGGGUUGGGGAACGAGUUUGGACCUAUUGGGGCGGGUAUUUUGGGUUUCAAGGGAAAACUGGGCCAACAAAAUUAAAGGGAUUUAGCCCAAAAAUAUGAACUCCCAUUUCUUUUAUAUUUUUUCCUUCAUUGUAAUUUUCCUUUUCAAAAAACUUUUGAUUCCUUUUCUUUUUGUAUGAUUUUCUUUUCUUUUAUUUUAAUUAAUUUAAAAUCUAAAUUAAAUCCUAAAACUCCAUUAACCUAUCAAAACCACUAAUUAAAUCUAAAUUUUAUCAUAAUUAAUUGAGAAAGCAAACUAAAAGACUACACAAAAAAUUAAAAGUACACAUUAAGCUAUUUUUUGUAAUUUUUCCAUUAACCUUAAAGUGUAUAAUUAAAUCCUAAAUGUAAAUGCCACGUAUUUUUAUAUUUUUAUUAAUUAAAUAAAGUAAACAUGCACCGACAAUAUGCAAAUAAUAACAGAAAAUGCCACAAAAUCCACAAAAUUACAUGAAAUGAAAAGAAACUUAUUUUCUUGAAUCUAUGAGAGUGAUUCAUAUAGGGAAAAAAUCACAUGCUCACAGCUUCCCUUCUUUUCCAGGAAACACGAAGAGUUUUCCUGCAAAGGUAAGUGAGAGGACAUGAGCGAUUUUUGCCAGCUUGAAUCCUCCUUGAGAAGCAUUUUGAAAACUUUGACCGCACCCUGCUUAAAAGGUUGCCUACAUAUCCUCGACUAAAGAGGAAUCAGGUCGGUGUAGUUAUGGAGUGUUUGGUAGCUGGGACUACCGAAGCUGUGAUCUCACUGUUGUUGUUGCUGCUACUGCUUGCUAGAUCCCCUUAUUACACCUUGUGAAAAAAAAGAGAAGCUAGACUAAGCUAUGAACUAUGAAUUACAAAAGAACCUCUCUAUGUCUUCAGACUUGCUCUUGAUCCUUGUUGCUUGUUGCCAUGUGCGUCUCCCCGUGAAACUUCUUGUCGCCUCGUUGCUAUAUUUCUCUUUCUCCAUGUUGAUGCCGGAUUGUUGGACUUGAAAUGUACUCCCUUUUUAUCCAGGUGGGUGCCUGUUUACCAAAACUUGACGCUUGAAAUGUAUUCCCUUUUUCUUCAGGUGGGCGCCUGAUUACCAAAACUUGAAACUUGAAAUGUAUUCCCUUGUUCUCCAGGUGGGCGCAUGAUUACAAAAACUUGAAAUUUGAAAGGUAUUCCCUUAUUUUCCAAGUGGGCGCCUGAUUACCAAAACUUGAAACUUGAAAACAUUCCCUUAUUCUCCAGGUGGGCGCCUGAUUACCAAAACUUGGAAUUUUCAAUGUAUUCCCUUGUUCUCCAGGUGGACGCCUGAUUAUCAAACCCUGAAAUUUGAAACGUAUACCCUUGUUCUACAGGUCGGCACCUGAAUACCAAGACUUGAAAUUUGAAAUAUAUUCCCUUGUUCUCUAGGUGCGUGCUGGAUUACCAAAGACUUGAAAUUUGAAAUGUAUUCCUUGGUUCUCCAGGUGGCCCCCUGGUUGCCAAAGACUUGAAAUUUGAAACGUACUCCCUUGUUCUCCAGGUGAGCGCCGAUUACCAAAACUUAAAAUUUGAAAGAUAUUCCCUUGUUCUCCAGGUGGACGCUUGAUUACCAAAACUCAAAAUUAGAAAGGUAUUUCCUUGUUCUCCAAGUGGGCGCCUGAUUACCAAAACUUGAAACUUGAAAAGUGUUCCCUUGUUCUCCAGGUGGGCGCCUGAUUACCAAAACUUGAAACUUGAAAAGUGUUCCCUUGUUCUCUAUGUGGGCGCCUGGUUAGCAAGACUUGAAACUCGAAAAAUAUUUCCUUGUUCUCCAGGUGGGCGCCUGAACUUAAAAAGUAUUCCCUUGUUCUCCAGGUGGGCGCCUGACUACCAAGACUUGAAACUUGAAAAUAUUCCCUUGUUCUCUAGGUAGGCGCCUGAUUACCAAAACUUGACUACUUGAAAAGUAUUCCCUGAGACUGCUGCUUGUGUACCUAAUCACAACAAAACAAACAAAACAAAAGAAAUUCUUUCUGCCCCAUUUUGGUGUUGGGCACCAUCCGUGAGUGUUAAUCAAAUCCCAUUACCAACUAUCUCUUCAAAUUUGAAAGCUAAAUCACAUUAUCCAAGAGGGACUUGACAACUCUUAAUUUACGACAACUUUAAGAUUAGGCUGUAUUCUCAAAAGGUAUUAUUUUCCACUAUGUCUUGUUAUCCGAGUUAUAUCAGCUGGGGAUCUACUGGGAACCAGUAGUUAAAGCUACAUCCCAAUAUCCAGGAGGGUCCUGACGACUCUUGUUGAGGAAAUAUUUAUGCAUGUCCGUAUUACCCGUGACUGUUUAAGUUCAAACUGAGUCCCAUUUUCCAGUAGGGUCCUAAAAACUCUUAACUGAAACCUAUUUCAACAUGCCAACCAUUUUAUGCUCUUGUUAUUUGUGAUAAUCUCCCACCUUUAAAUAAGUCCCAUUUUUCAGGAGGGUCCUGAGAAUUCCAAAUUAACCGCCAAUUCUAGCUCUCGGUUGUCUCUACUGGGGUUUGCUAGUUAAAGUUAGGUCCCAUUGCUUAGGAGGGUCCUGACAACUCUUAUUGGGGAAGAUGUUUGUACCAGAUUAUGUUCCCUGUUAAAUUUUAAACCACGUCCCAUUUUCAGGAGGGUCCUGAAGUUCAUAGUCAUAAUUGCCAUGUGCUUGCCUUCCCUUGUGAAGGACUUCCUCGGGAUCUUCAGAAAUUUUUUGCCCCUGUUUCUAUCAAAGAAAAUCUUGUUAGUUUGAAAAGUGGUGGUUAACUUGCGGCAUUCUUAAUGAAGAUGUCAUCCCCACUAUUAUGUUCUGUUGCUUCCAAUUUCUAUAUUGACGAUGAAUCGCCUGAUUUGCUCGGUUGACCCCUGAACCCUAUGGCUUUACUCUAUUCCCCCAUCAUCGUGUUACACUCCGGACCAUUUUGUUAGAAUCCUUACAUCCUUCCUGAAGUUACCGAGUCAGUUCACUAAUGAACCCUUCUCGAUCCUUUCCCUUGCCAUUUCAACUUUUGCUGCAUUUGUUAUGUUUUGACCAGCAUGUGCUUUGCCACUUAGGAGCAAGUAUUGAGCUUUGAAAUUUCUCUCCUGCUUGCUUGAACAAAAUGACUUUGGGGCCAUAUUAGAAGAAUGGAGACUCUAAAGAAAAUGAAAUGCUAUGACUCUUAAUUAUUUUGUUUUAGAAUAAAAGAAUUCCAAAUUUGGCGACUAUUGAGGGAAAAAGAAAAGAAACUUAUCUGUGCAGGAACAACUGGUUUCCAUGAUCAUGACAUGCACUUUAGCUUAGUCGACCUAGUCUGCCCAAAUGAUCGUCCUUCUGCUGUAUGCUUUGUUGUUGCGACCUUCUUCAAACCCAAAUCGUUUAACAAAAACCUGACCUUGCUUAACUUAUGGUUUCCUGGACAGAUUUCCACCAACAGCCUUUUCCAAUUGCUUAUUUCUUGCCUUGCCUUCGCCUUAUGGUGCCCGUGAGGGCUUUCACCAAUAUGACUCUCUCAUUUUCAUUUCUUUCAACUCCCGUCGCCAUACGGUGCCCGUGAGGGUUUUCACCACUAAGACUCUCAUUUUUAUUAUUUUCCUGCUUGAACUAGAGUGUUGUCCCGGGGUAUGAAUCUCCCUUUCUUCCUUGACUCGGCAUUUCUUAAAGAAUGAUCAGAAGGUCUUUCUUUUGAUUGUAAUUCAGGCUUUUGGAUAAGUUUAGGAAAAAGGGGUGUUAAAGGCUCAAAAUAAUUCAAAUAGGUUAAAAAAAGUACAACUUUCGGAAUCAAAUAUUCUUCUAACAACCACAGCUUCUGCCCCAAUUUCUUGCUUAGGGACCAUUCAAUUUUUAUUUGAAUAUGAUAGAGCCAUGAGGUUGCCUACUUAUCCUUAAAAGGGAAUAAGGUAAAACGUAGUUCAUGCCGAUUCCUUGUUUUGUGAUCUUUGCUUUUCUUCUUUUCCUUAUUCUGUUUCUUCAUUUUUCUUUUGUUGUUUUGUGGGUUUUUCCUUCUCUCUCUUUUCUUUUUUUUUUCUUUUCUUUUUAUCUUUUCUUUUUCUUCUUUUUUUCUUCCUUCGCUUUUCUCUUUCUUUCCUUUUAUUCUUCCCUGGUCUUUUCCUUUUAUUGACUUUUACACUUGCAUUUCUGACUUUUGUUACUGAUUCCGAAAGACGGAUAUUGAAAGAAAAUAAUUAAAACUCAAAAGGGUUAGUAAAUGAUAAAGUGUUUAGAUAGCCGAAUAAAGUGUCUUCGUCAUUUCAAUCUCUAAAACAUGCCAAGUAGAAACAAACAUACCAGAUACAGACAAUGAUUUAAAUAAAGAAAAUUAUACAUAGUAUCUCUUAACUGCACCUGAAUUGAUGGCUAUAUCUGCACACUUGCCUUCCACGUCUGUUAGAUACAAUGCCCCGUUGGACAACACUCUUGAUUCGAUGAACGACCCUUGCCAAUUUGGGGCGAACUUGCCCUUUGCCUUUGCCUGAUGAGGGAGGAUGUAUUUCAAUACCAACUUACCCACUUCAAACCUUCUUGGACGCACUUUCUUGUUGUAUGCUCUGGCAUUCUCUGUUGAUACAACUGGCCAUGCCAUACCGCUACCAAUCUUUUUUCAUCAAUCAAACUCAAUUUCUCUAGAAGGGCUUUGACCCAUUCCUCAUCAUCAAUUUCUACCUCGGCGACAAUCCAAAGGGACGGGAUUUCAAUUUUAGCCAAAAUUACUGCUUUUUUGCCAUAUACCAACAAAUAUGGAGUUUCCCCCACUGAGGUGCGGACAGUAGUGCGAUAGCCUAGCAGUGCGAAAGGUAACUUCUCAUGCCAUUGUCUAGACUCUUCCACCAAUUUUGAAAUAUCUUCUUUAUAUUCUUAUUGGCUGCCUCAACUGCUCUAUUCGCCUUGGGACUGUAUGGGGUGGAAUUGCGAUGUGUAAUCUUAAACUGCUGACAUACUUCUUUCAUCAAAUGACUAUUGAGAUUUGCUCUGCUGGCUCGAAGGGCCCGAUGAAAUCUAUGCAACGAAAGGCCAUGGUACGGACAUUGUAUGCAAUUCAGAUGGCGGUGAAUGAAUCAAGUCUCCAUGCAUCUGACAUUGAUGACAUUUGCGCACGAAACUUAUACAAUCUCGCUCCAUGGUGAGCUAAUAAUACCCUAUCUGGAGAAUCUUCUUUGCCAAAACAUAUCAGCUCAUGUGCAGUCCGCAGACUCUAAAAUGUACCUCAUUCAUGAUGGCUAUGCCUGCCCAGACUCUAUGCACCUAAGCAACCCAAGAUCCGGCGUUCUUUUAUAUAGCACCCCUCCACUGAGGAAAACCCCGCUUGAUAGACGACUGAUUGUUCUCUUCAGGUCACUUGUGGCCUGUAUUGGGUACACACCCAUCCUGAUAUAUUCUUUGAUGUCGUGAAACCAAGGCUCAUUGUCAAGCUCUUCCUCCACCACAUAAAAGUAAGCAUAUUGGUCAUAGACUUGGAUAUACAAUGGAUCAACAUAAGCCUUAUUUGGAUGAUGUAACAUUGUCGCUAAGGUGUAUUACAGUAAGCAUGUUGGUCGUGGACUUGGAUAUACAAUGGAUCAACAUAAGCCUUAUCUAGAUGAUGUAACAUUGACGCCAAGGUGGCCAAAGCGUCAGCAACCUCAUUGUGAAUUCUUGGGAUAUGCCUGAACUCUACUGACUGGAAUCGUUGACAAAGGUUGUGCAAGCAUUGCUGGUACGAUAUGAGCUUCAAAUAUCGUGUUUCUCACUCCCCUUGAAUCUGGUGUACCAGAAGUUCCAAUUCUCCUAAGACCAAGACUUCCUGGACACCCAUGUCCACAGCUAACCUCAAACCCAAAAUACAUGCCUCAUACUCUACCAUGUUGUUGGUGCAAUAGAAGUGGAGCGGAGCUGUAACGGCGUAAUGGUGCCCCAUCUCAGAAAUGGGUACUGCUCAUAUCCCGAUGCCUUUCAUGUUGGCGGCCCCAUCAAAAAAUAAUUUUCAUCCCGGCUUCUCACCCUGUUCCAUUUCAUCAAUAUGCAUUAUCUCCUCGUUCGGGAAGUAUGUCUUUAAAGGUUCAUAUUUUUUGUCUACCGGAUUCUCGGCCAAAUGAUCAGCCAAUGCAUGCGCUUUCAUUGCAGUCCUGGUCACGUAAACAAUAUCGAACUCGGUGAGCAAGAUUUGCCAUUUUUCUAGCCUUCCCGUGGGCAUAGGCUUCUGAAAGAUGUAUUUUGAUGGGUCCAAGCGUGAGAUGAGGUAAGUGGUAUAUGAUUACAAGUAAUGUUUCAACUUCUACGCUACCCGAGUUAGGGCACAACACGUCCUUCCAGGAUGAGUAUACUGAGCCUCAUAAGCUGUAAACUUCUUGGUGAGGUAGUAUAUAGCAUGUUCUUUCCUCCUGGUGAUAUCGUGCUGACCCAGCACACAUCCGAAUGAAUUGUCCAAGACUGUCAGAUAUAGGAUCAACGACCUUCCUAGGUCUUGCGGGACAAAAAUCGGUGGGUUAGACAAGUAUUCCUUUAUUUUAUCAAAAGCCUCCAGGCACUCUCCCGUACAUUUAACUGCAGCAACCUUUUUCAAUAACUUAAAGAUGGGCUCGCAGGUUGUCAUGAGCUGAGCAAUUAAUUAACUGAUGUAAUUCAAUCUCCCUAACAGACUCAUCAUCUCUAUUUUGUUCCUCAGAGGCGGAAAUUAUUGCAUGGCUUUGAUCUUUGAUAGAUCUAGUUCAAUGCCUCGGCGACUGACUAUAAGCCCUAGAAACUUCCCUGAGGGGACCCCAAAUACGCAUUUCGCCGGAUUGUGUUUGAGAUUAUACCUGCGGAGCCUCUGGAAGAAUUUCCUCAGAUCUCUGACAUGGUUAGAUUGCUUCCUGGAUUUCACAAUUACAUCAUCCACAUAGACCUCAAUCUCCUUAUGUAUCAUAUCAUGAAAGAUGGUUGUCAUCGCCCUCAUAUAGGUUGCCUCAGUAUUCUUCAGGCCAAAGGGCAUGACCCUGUAACAAUAUGUUCCCAUGGCAUGAUGAACAUUGUCUUCUCCGAAUCCUCCUUAUCCAUCAAGAUCUAGUGGUAGCCUGCUCAACAAUCUACAAAGGACCCAAUCUCAUGCUUUGCACAAUUGUCAAUCAAUAUUAGAUGUUUGGCAAUGGGAGGUUAUCUUUUGGACUUGCUUUGUUUACGUCACAAUAAUUGAUGUAUACCCUGGUUUUAUCAUCCUUUUUCGGCACAUGUACGACAUUGGCUAACCAUGUGGGAUAUCGUGUGACUUGGAUGACCUUGGCCUAAAACUGCUUGGUAAAUUCCUCUUUGAUUUUCACGCUCACAUCAAUUUUAAACUUUCUCAACUUUGUUUAACAGGAGGGCAGGCCGGGUUGGUGGGCAAUUUGUGAACAACUAGGUCAGUGCUCAACCCUAGCAUAUUAUUGUAAGACCAUGCAAAAACAUCUUUGCAUUCCAGCACCGUUUUAAUUAUUUCUCCCCUAAGUUGUGGCUUGAGAUGGUCACUUAUUUUGGUUUCUUUAAUGUUAUAUGGGUCCCCUAAAUUGACUGCUUACGUAUCGCUCAGGUUUGGCUUGGGCUUUUCCUUAAAAUGGCCCAACUCUUUACUAAUUUCAUCCAACGCCAUUUCCUCAUCAUAUUCCCACUCAUCCUCAUAUUCUAUCUCUUGAAUUAUUACUUCUGAAUUAAAUCGAUUUUUAAGACUGGGCCGAAAAGUCCUUAUGCAUGUCAGACCAUUGGAUCCAGCAUAAAAGUACCGUACAAGAAGGAGAAGAAAAUCAAAGAAAAAUGAAAGCUAUUAGCACUAUAGGAAAGGGAAAUUGCAUUUCAUUGAAAUUGGAAAGAUAACAAGGUUUUCCAAAUAGACGGAACAUAACAUCUGAAUUACAACCCUAGAGAUAAUCCAGAUUAAACUGAAAGAAAAAUCAAAGCCGACUAUCACAAGUCCUUUCGAGUGGGAAGAGGAGUAGCUUCCCAGUUGUUGACUUUUGCACGGAUCCCACAAACUACACAUUUGUCUUACUUGAUCCUUUUUCGGCUCCACCAUGUUUACAUCUUCAAACAACUUUUCGAACCUCUCGAGUAAUUCUUUGUCACGAUCAACCGUAACAUUGGCACUUGUUAUUGUCAAACACUUAUUGGCGCCAGGUUUCACAAAUGAUUUGAAGAGACGAGGCACAGGUUUGGGGAGGGCCCAUGCUUUCUUUCUCAUCUUUCUGGCUCUCUUGAUGUCUGCACUUGUACGCUUGAACCCCAAACCAAAAUUCUAGGUUUGUCGGAAGAGACACUAGCUGUAUGAUACCCUAAAGUGAGGCCUCCAAGCCUUUUCCGGGAACGACCCAUUCUUUAGCAUUUCAACUGCCACCAUGACUGCUGCGGUGGACAAUCUUGGUGUUGGAACACGCUCCCAUUCUGGGAAUUUCUCCACUGAUACUGAGCCAUAGACCUGAUACACCCACGACCCUUUAUCAUCAUCUGCUUCAAUGAAGGGUACGAUAACAUCACUGUGAGCAUACAGAUGGUCUUUACCGUGCACCACUAUUUCUUGUCGAUCCCAUUCAAAUUUUACCAUUUGAUGAAAAUUAGAAGGGACUGCUUUAGCAGCAUGGAUCCAAGGUCGCCCCAACAACAAGUUGUAAGAGACAGCUACAUCAAGCACCUGGAACUCCAUGGUAAAAUCAAUGGGCCCGAUUUCAAAUCGAGCACUGUCACCGACCAAAUCUUUUCCCCCGCCAUCAAAUCCUCGUACACUGAUGUUGUUAUUGUGAAUUCUUCCAUUUUCCACCUUCAACUUGUUUAGCAUGGAGAGAGGGAAAAUAUUCGCGCUUGAACCAUUAUCGACCAAAACUCGAGUCCCACAGAAUCUUCGCAUUUUACCGUGAGGUAGAAUUCCCUAUUAUGCUAGGUGCCUUCUAUUGGUAGUUCAUCAUCGAAAAAUGUGACUCUGUUCACCUCAAAAAUCUUAUUGGUUAUUUUCUCCAAAUGGUUGACUGUGAUUUUAUCAAGAAUGUGGACCUCGUUCAGGAUAUUCAUUAAAGCCUGACGGUGCUCGUCUGAAUGAAUUAACAAUGAUAACAACGAGAUUUGAGCAGGCGUCUUCCUCGGUUUUUCCAAAAUAGAGUAAUCCUGCCUUUUCAUCUUUUUUAGAAACUCUUCUGAUUCUUCUUCACUCACAGUUUUCUUCACCUGCACUGAGUUAUCCUUGGUUGGUUUUGAUUUUCUCAAUUCCUCGGGGGCAAAGCACCUCCCCGAUCGGGUCAAUCCAUGAGUCUCACAAAUUUUUUCUCUAACCUCCUUCCCUUCGUGGGUCACUAUUACGCGAUCAUAAUUCCAAGGCACUGACUUACUGCUGAUUACUGGUAGAUGAACUACAUGUUUGAUAAUUACAGGCUCUGAACGAGCGCCUUUUAUAAAAACCACUGGUUUACUAGCCAUCCCUAGUACAACCACCUUUGCAUUCUCUUAUUUCACCAUCCCGUCUUUCAGGGAUUCCUCCUUCACUGUAACAACAGGAUCACUACUUGUUGAGCUUGACUUGAGCAUCGACAUCUCGCUGGUCAAAUUCUCGCCCAUCUUCCGCUCACUGGCUCAGAUCAACAUGAUAGUUUGCGAAGGCUUUUUGGGCUUUCCCUCUUUGUGCACUAUACCGAUCAUAUUUAUCUCUUGAUAAGCAGGCAAUAGAUUUUGAUUAAUGUUGGGUGAUUCUGGGGCUUGCACCUCAAUCCGAUGGAAAUCAAUGAGUUCUUGAAUAGCACACUUUAGAUGCUAACAUUUUUCGUAUCAUUCCCUGAGGAACCGGAACAAUGCUCACAACUGACAGAAUAAUUUAGAUUUCUUGGGGAAGGGUUUGGAAAUUUUGCUUCGAUCGGCCUCAACAUGUCUAGCUGCCUCAACCUAUGGAAUAAGCUGGUAUAUGAUUCUCCCAAUGGAGUGAAAAUUUUCUUCUUCCGCAUUCUCUCAUUUUUCAAAGCUUGGUUGGCCCGGAAAGCAGGUCUCGGGGGUUGCUGGUAGGCUCUUGGAGGGUAGUUAUUUGGUGGAGCAAGGUAAUUAUUUUGUGAAGCUAGCGCACGCCAUUGUACGUAGGCGGGAGUUUGGGUAUAUGUGUCUGCAUGAUGGACUGAGAAACAGGGUUCCGGAGGUGAAUAGUAAAGUUAUGGUGGGCCGUAUGGGGUGUGUGUGUUAUUUGGUGCUGAGGACGGGGUUGGCUGUAAUGGGAUGAAGCCCGGGGCCUGAACCAAGUCCCUGACUCAACAGUUGCUACCUCUCCCUUCUUCUUCUUUCCAAUUGCUCCUCCAGUCCUACUUUGGAUAGCCUGGAUGGUUGCUUUGAUUGCAGAGUAACUCAUGAUUUUGUUGGAUUUGAGUCUUUCCUCAACCAUACUUCCCAUUUUCACUACCUCAUUAAAGGACUUACCUACCGCCGAUACUAGAUGACCAAAAUAUGUAGGCUCCAAAGCUUGCAAGAAAUAAUCUACCAUUUCAUUUUCCUUCAUUGGAGGGUCGGCCCUCGCUGCCUGUUCCCUCUACCGGAAGCCAUAUUCUCUGAAGCUCUCAUUGUACUUCUUUUCCAAUUUUGCCAAAGAUAGACAGUCCGGGAUAAUUUCAAGAUUAUAUUGAAAAUGACAGGCGAAUGCUUGUGCUAGAUCAUCCCAAAUUUACCACCAAGCAUGAUUCUGUCGGGUAUACCAUUCUAAUGAUGACCCACUUAAACUUUGACUGAAGUAUGCUAUAAGCAGUUAAUCCUUUCCUCCUACUCCUCUCAUUUUGCUACAAAAACCUCUCAGAAAGCAUGAUCCUGCCGGGUAUACCAUUCCAACACCGACCCACUUAAACUUUGACUGAAGUAUGCCAUUAGCAGUUUAUCCUUUCCUCAUGCUCCCCUUAUUUUGCAACAAAAACCCUUUAGAUGUGCGAUUGGAUCGUCGUGCCUGUCAUACAAGUCAAACUUGGGCAUCUUAAAGCCUGGAGAUAAUUGCAUAUCUGGGAACAAGAAAAGAUCUUUGAAUGCCAAACUCACCUUGCCACCUAACCCUCGCAUAUCUCGGAAUGAUUGUUCUAAGCUUCUGAUCUUCCUGAGCAUCUCCUCUUGCUCAGGAUAUUUGACUAGUUUUUCAGCCUCCGCCGGGAUUUCAAAACGGGGGGCAUAUGAGUAAGGUUCAUGGGCUUUUUAAGCGGGUUCUGGUGGAUAAUACUGAUUUUCAUGAGCUUGAAGCAAAGGCUCACUAGAGGAUCUGCAGAGUGUAGGCGGAGGAGGUGCCACAUAAAUGAGAGCAAUUGGCGGGGGAGAGGGGGGUAAGGAGCAACUUAGGGUGGUGGAGUUGGGGGUGCUUGAGAAGUCGUACCCUGGUAUUGUGGGUAGGCGAGGAAACUUGGGGGUGGAUCCGUGGUGGGAUGGUCAUGUGACUGAGACACCGGUAGGACGAAGGUCGGAUUAGCAGGAUAGGUUGGUGGUGGCUGCCCUCUCACCCAUGCCUGAUACAUCUCAGCCAUCUGAUGUUUCAGUUUGUACAUAAUCUCUCUCAUUGUAUUAACGUCCAACCCCUCUACCUCUUUCGAAGGACCAAUGAUACUGGCAUUGGUUUCUUGAUUGGCCAUAAUCAGCUUGCUCUUGGACUGAGAGUUGUAUGAGUGAGUUGCCAGAAUGCUGCAGAGAACUAACCACCUGUCUGGAGCGGGAAAGACAACACCAAAACUUGUUAAUGGUUAGGUUUCAGCACAUAGGCAACCACAUGUUCGGGGAUGAAUACACCUAAGCAGUUAUCCAUUUAUAUUAUGCAUACGAAGUGGUUGCUUGCGUCAUCCCGGCUCUUAUCCUAUGCCACCUUUUUUCUCUCUUGUUUUUUAUUUUCUUCUUCACUCUCAAUUUGUUUUUCCUACACCUUUCGUUUCGUUAUUAUUUCCUUUAUUUUACCACAGUUUCUAUCUUUUUUCUUCCUUUCUUUAUUUGGUUAUAGUCGAAUCCUAUGGAGAUUUCCUUCGUAUCAUGACCCUGCAUGAAUCAGACCGAUCAUAGUUUUGGCGAAUGCAUACAGAAAAUAUUUAGAAAACUUCUUCAAUUUUCAUAAAGUAAAGCACUCGAUUACAACUUACUAAAAGAAUUUAACAAACACCAACUCAGCUGAAAACAUUAGACUCUGACUUAAAACGAAAAUAAUUGACUCGACGGCCUACUAUGAACUUUAAAGAAAAUACUAGACUCUCAACAGAUUCGACAAUCAUGAAUACAUUAAAGCCUCUAAUUCUCCUAGGCCUACGGGAUAUCAUUCGGUCUCGCCACAGACUUGCGUGCUAAAUCCCCUUGGAGGUGGUGGAGGUCUUCCAUCACUUAACGAACAAAGGUCAUGGCGGUGGCAAAGAAUAUAGAUCUUGUCAUAUCUUCGCAAUGGCUGCACUUUGUGGUGAUAUAAUCAAUGAUCAUUCGUACCCUCUCUCUUCUAAAACCCUUAUCUUGCAACAAUCACACAAUUUGCUAGGCCCUUACCUCCAAAAUUCGUUCGGCUACACGAUUCAGUUCUUGGAAUUGCUUCAAAUCUCUUAUCGUGUUAUUGUUGCGUACAAUGCUCUCUCUCAGCCUUGAAGUCCCUGGCUUGCUUGGCUAUUUUGUUUUAAACCAUGAUGACCUUCCUUUUCAACCUAGAAACCUCAUUGUCGUGCCUUUCCUUUAAUUUUUCAAUCAUAUAGGCUCGUUCCUCCGCAUUUUUGGCCAAUUGUUGUCGAGCCUUGGACAGCUCACCCUCUGCUUUGUUCAAGUCAAAACCAUAUUGUCCUACCUUUUGCCUCAAAUUUUCUAUGAGCUUUUCAUCCUUCGCACUCCUGGCGAAUUCUUCGUUGCUAUUUUCAUUUUAUGAAUUUGGGCUCACAAAGCUUUAUUUUCUAUGGCUAGUCUUUUCUUUUCCCCCUCGUCUGCUGCAGCUUGCAAACCAUUUUCGAAUUAAAGGUCUUUGACUUGCUUUUCCAAUUUCCCUAUCGUGGCCCUUUAUUCAUUUUCUUUGGCUAACCAAUUCCAUUGUUCUUGUGACGCCUCAGCAAAUUCUUGGAGAUAUGGCCUCUUAGCCGGCCUUCCGAACUCUAUUUCUUUCUUAUACCAAGCAAGGUACCCUGGUGCAACCUCGCCUUUAGAUAAGUCACUUACUCGAGUGUCCACCGUCAAGUACUGAAAUUCGCUCCAAAUUUGACGAACUGCUGCUUCGGGAAACUGACCGUUAGGACUAAUCUGGACCGCAUGGCGACUAAUGUCCUCAUCUCUGGGAAUCAUCUGGCACCUCCCUAACUGUCUUAGCACUAUGUAUGGAGUAUAAGGUUGGAUACUCUGGAGACCCAUCAGGAGGAAAUGAAGCCCGAUGCUGGCACAUAUAUGACUUCAUCAACAGGAAGCCACACGAACGUCCACUCUACUUGGCUUGCACUUAUGGCAUAGAGAUGUGAUACCCAUUCUAUAGCACCCUUUGGUAAUUUAAGCCCAUCAACCCUGCUAUAAAAUUCCUAUAAGCAGCUUUUUGUUGACGACCCAUAACUAAUGAAUUGAGGUCGAUGGAACAAGUGUUCAAUCAUCCAUAUUUGCAGCAACAGGUUGCAUCCUUUAAAAAAAAUCUCCUCCGGCUUUACAUGCGGUGAGAACACGGAAGAUUUCAGAUAAUAUCAUGGGCGUAAGGGUGCUCUUGGCUUGAGUGAUCAAAGCGAUGACAGCCCAUGCUAUCCAUAUAUCAAUAUUUCCGUCUUUUCGUGGGAACACCAGAAGGCCCAAGAAGAAUACCAUAAAUGCGAAACACAUGUGUUCUUGACAUUUAAUUUGAUUUCCCUUGCUACAAAUAUUAUUUUCCGCGUCAUUAAAUCCCCUAUGUGCCCAUACCUCUUAUAUAUAAACUGUGGAGUACAAUGCCGGCUCACAGGUCUGGAUUGUGAACCUUCCUACUAAUCUUUAAUGAAUCCAAGAAUUUGUGUACGGCGAUGGCCCUUGGCGCAAUCAGAUACUGAUGCCUCAGAGGAAUUGUGGUAACCCCGAUAUAUCCGGUUAUUUCUUCCAGGUUUGGAGUGAGUUCAAAGUCCGGAAAAUAAAAUACAUUGUGGGCCGGGUCCCAGAUGAACCAAUGCUUUUAAGAUGUCCCCUCUAGGAUUAAUUUUCGACAAACCGGUAAGUCCUCCCAAGUGUGUGCUGACCUUGUUUUUCCCCGAUUCACCUAGAUCAUUCCAUCACAUGUAUAUCUCUAAAGGGAUUUUGUUCAUGACUGAGAUUGAAAAACUUUGAUUUGUGCUCAUUCUGCACAUUUAUUAAGGUGAUUAAGCAAAAAUCAUGAUUUAUCGGACGCGAAAACAAAAUAUGAUAAUAAAAAAAAUCAAAUUUUCAUUUCAAAAAUACAAUUCCGUCCUAGUAAAUACGGCCUUUUAGCACUUCCAGGGGAAGAUUUUAAGGAUGUGCCUACUACCGGCCAAAAUUUAGAAAAUAAUCCAAGGCGGCUAUUUUUGCAAAAACAGUCUUCCGGCGCCCUUUUAGGGACACUCGGCUAAUUUUGACAAAAACAGCUUUAUUUAUUAAUGACAAACAAAAAUUUGUUUUUUUUGGCUAUUUUCGCAAAAACGAAGUUGGGCCCGAUGGAGGUUGCCUACGUAUCUCACAUCCUGUGAGAUACAAACUGGCAUAGUUUGGGAAAUUUUGGAAAGAUUAAAAGCCAACUUCUAUUUCCUUUUCUUGAAAAUAAGACUCUUUUUUGGGUUUUCUUUUUCAAAACUUCGGCAGCACUUCAGUAGCUCUUAUGAAACAGGUAAAUUCCUUCUUCAUUCCUCACAUGUUGUCACUUACCAAAUUCCCUCUCUUUUCUUUUUCUCUUUUUUUCAAAAGCCGGUUGGCAUGCAAAUCCGACAUGAAUGCACAAAGAGCAAGCAAAAUGCACUAGGAUGGUCCAUUAUUUUGGGUGCACCUGUCCUAGACGGACCCAACCCCUAUGUUGAGUCCCCUAAAUCAAAUGCAUGAUGUAAUUAAGCGCUCCUACUAGGGCUCCGGCAUGUGGUUAAGUUAUUUUAAGAUUAAAACCUUGGCAUAGGGUCUAGACUGUGUACCUGAGCGGACAACUCGAGUCGAGGAGGGGGCUACGUACCAAGAACCAAAAGGUCAUCCGGCUUUGUAACUUGUCUGAGCCUCUUUCUUAUUUGAAGGUAUGAUACUAACAUAAUAGGGAGUCUCGACCAGCGAGCACAUCCCCGAAGAUGAGAAGAGAAGGGAUUCACAACAGUUAAUAUACGGUCCAAAUAAUAUUAAAGAGGUAAAAUAACAUUUAACACAUUGGGCACAAUUAUGCAAUAAAAUCAGAUAAUAAAGCCAGAUACAACAAUUAUUUAAAGCUCAAAUUCUUGAACCCUGAACCAGAGAUUCUAGGUUCGAUCCCAGCAGAGUCUCCAGAGCUGUCACACCUCCUUUUUAACAUCUACAACCCCGGCGAAGGGCGUCGAUAAGGGAGUUUUUCCAAUUAAAGGACAAUCGAAGUGGGAUUUAUUUAUUUAAGAGAUUUCAGAGUCACCACUUGAGAUAAUUAAUGGUGUCUCAAGUCACUGAUUUAAAUCUCGAAUCGAGGAAGGGGUUGACUCUGUUUAACACCCUGCGAACCAGGAAUCUGGGUAAGGAAUUCUGUUAACCUGGGAGAAGGUGUUAGGCACUCACGAGUUCCGUGGUUCUAUCACUGUCUCUCAACUGCUGUAUUUGGCUUAGUUUUGUAUCUAUGUGUAAAUUUAAACUUUAGCUGCUUUUAUUUAAUUGAUUAAAGGAAGAUUGCAACGCCGUUAAAAUACGUCUUGAAAUCACGUCACAUAAAUCCACCCGCAGUUUUUGACAUAUUUCAACAUCAUUGAUAUUUGGAUUUGGAUUGCAUAAAUGCACACCCGUAAUUAGGAAGAUACAUUAUUUAACUAACACGCUCAAAAUAGUUUCGUGUGUUUAAAUUUUGCAAGGGCCACGAAAAUUUGCUAAGUGGUGCACCUCGGACUCUAAGGUUUCGAAUUUGAGUACUCAAUGUAAUUAUUCAAAUUUAUUCGGCAUUGGCGUCAUUUCCGCACUUCAACCUAUUUUAACUGAAUGUUUUUUAAAUUAACCUACGAGGAACAGGAGCUACUUGUCUUAUCCAUUUCGGCUUUCCUUGGCUAGUUAGGAACUUUAACUAUUGAAACGUUAAUAGAGUUGGGGUUUUGUGAGCGCUCUAGACCUAGUGAGGUCCUAUGGCCCUAUUUCGGAUGGCCUUAUGGCCUAGGGCCCAAGCAAUAGCCCACGUCUUUGAGGCUACUCAUGCCCAAUUGAAUGGGAUUCAAAGUUGAGCCUCAGGUGUGCCAGUGACACACGUAGUCGAGAUCGUUGGCACAGACCCAACAAGGUUCUUAGCAAACAGACAAAACAUUAUCCAAUCACUUGAAUUACCCUCUAAUUAAUAGCAUGCUUAACAAACAUAACUACAAAAUUGCUCUAGGAACAUUGUAGACCAAACAGGACCCUACAAAAUCAUCAUAGCAAAUCAACAUGAAUCUAAACGCUUAACCCAAACUAAUCAUGCUUAAGCUCAUACUGCAAAUAAAUCAUUACUUAUCUUGACCCUUAACAUCAUUAUUCUAAACCCCUUUCUUUAAAAAAGACUGAUUAUAAACUAAAUGAUAACUUCAGAAUGCCCAACAAUUAAAGCAAAGUAUUACAUGAUCCGUGCUAAUUUCUGAUUCAUAUUUUAAGGGCAUCAUCAAUCAACUUAAACGGCAGGCUUGUUUACAGAAGUUUGAAACAGUCCAUUCAUUACUGCAAGUCCAAAUCUAACAAAUAAAUUACAACAUUGAUUAUGCAAAGGGUUACAUAUGAUGAGUAAACUGCAUAAUGCUUAAAGAAACUAGAGGGAAAACUAACAAUUAGUCGACAGGAACAAUCAUCAAUUAUCAUUCAUCCUUAAACUUGAUUAUAAGACUUUCAACAUUGCCUUUCAUGUGUUGUUUAGGGAUUGACACAUACCUGGGAAAUAAGAGGAAAUAAAUAGGAGGUGAGCUUCAGCAAGUGAACAGAGCAACAGCAAGACGACAAUAUAUCAACAUCAAUAGUUCAUUUCAACCAAUAAAGGGUGUGACACAGCCCAGAACCUAGUCUUUACCAAACAACAAUCGAAACUGAGUUCAAACCAGAUUUUAUUGGAGCAAAAUCAAACCAUUUUCACUACAAAUGACACAACACUUUUCAAAAGAUCAAAAUAUCAAGUGGAAUCCUAUUGGAACAGUAAACUUUUAGUCCCUUUUAGCCAUUUAAGUUUCUUCUGAGUUUUUAUCAUUGAAAAAUUCUCAAAUCAAACCAUUUUAGCUCUCCAACAAACCAGCCUUCAUUUCAGGCUUUAUAAAUCUAAGAAAGCACAAAGAAACACUUAAUGUAAUGGUGAAUUCUCUGAAAUUCUUAGCCGUUCUAGAAGCUUCUUACUCUCUAUCUCUUUCUUUGGUUCUCCUUCUAAGGCAAGAGAGUUGCCUUUAUAGGCAAGUAAACUAGGGCACCCUUAUAUUCUUAAUUUUCAUUUUAGUCCUUCAUUUUUUGACUUGUUAACCAAGUUAUAGCACCAAAAUUUUACAGGAAGCCCCUACUAGAAGCUUCCUAUUCUUGUUACUAAAGAUUCCCUAAGUGAUUUACCUAUACUAUCCUCUCAUUCCCUGAAAAUUAACCUAAACUACCAGCCUGGGUCAAUUUGACCCAAGGCAAAAUCACAUCUGGGCCUUCAACCUCUUUGAAUUGACCCUAUUGUUCUGGGCUUUUACAUGACAGAACUUUAACAAGUGAUCAAACAAACUUCAGGAGUUAAACCCUUAAAUUGAGUCUUUGAAUUAAAACCUCUGAAUUAUACCCCUAGAGUUAAAAGAAAUCUAGGCACAAUUAUGCAAUUAAAGGUAAAAAGCAUCAUCUUAACAAUCAAACUAGUUAAAAUUGUAAAAUAACUGGAUAAUAAGAUCAAAUCAAAUCAACUAGACCUAGAUUCCUGAUUGUUUAAACAUGCGAAUCUCCACUAACAAACCUAAUCUAAUUCGAAUGAGUAAACUCUUAGAAGAGAGCUAAAAAGAAUCGGAAUGAAGGAAGAAAGAGAGAACCAACUAAAAUUUUGCUUUAACAAAACAAAGAAAAUUAAAAGCUAAAGGGAUAGUAUUCAGAUCUAACCGGAAAAGCCUAUAAAAUCUUCAUGCAUUGACAGAGCUUUGAUCUAAGAUUCGAGCCGUCUGAGGGAUAUUUGGAGAAAACCAACGGUGGAUUUGUCAUGAGGGAGGUGAGUGGGUCAUUUGGUAUUGAUUUGGGACCGUUUGCCAGCGGCGGCACCGUGCACGGCGGUGGAGUCCAUGUUUCAAAUGGAUAUUGGAGACGUUUGGCUGAUAUUCGAAAGACACCAGGAACGGAUUUGGAUAGAGGAGGUUGAGGGGAGGAGACGGUGUAAUUUUGGUGGCCAUUGGGUGAUCAUCACCGGAGGAGGUGACUUCCGGCCAGCGGUUUGCGGAUGAGAGACGGUGGUGUUAUAUGUCUCUGAUAACAGGUGAGAGACAGUCGGUGGUGUUAUAUGUCUCUGAUAACAGGUGAUAGACAGAGGUAGGGGUAGGGGUUCU
rnacentral:lncRNA from 1 species